rnacentral:rRNA from 1 species
AAAGCGGAAUUCCUAGUGUAGCGGUGAAAUGCGUAGAUAUUAGGAGGAACACCAGCGGCGAAGGCGGCUUUCUGGACUGUAACUGACACUGAGGCACGAAAGCGUGGGUAGCAAACAGGAUUAGAUACCCUGGUAGUCCACGCCGUAAACGAUGAGCACUAGGUGUUGGGCCCGUUAGGGCUCAGUGCCGCAGUUAACGCAAUAAGUGCUCCGCCUGGGGAGUACGCUCGCAAGAGUAAAACUCAAAGGAAUUGACGGGGACCCGCACAAGCAGCGGAGCAUGUGGUUUAAUUCGAAGCAACGCGAAGAACCUUACCAGGGCUUGACAUCCUGCUGACAGGACCUUAACCGGUCCCUUCUUCGGACAGCAGAGACAGGUGGUGCAUGGUUGUCGUCAGCUCGUGUCGUGAGAUGUUGGGUUAAGUCCCGCAACGAGCGCAACCCUUGUCGCUAGUUACUAACAUUCAGUUGAGGACUCUAGCGAGACUGCCGAGGUCAACUCGGAGGAAGGUGGGGAUGACGUCAAAUCAUCAUGCCCCUUAUGUUCUGGGCUACACACGUGCUACAAUGGUCGGUACAAUGAGAGGCAAUACUGUGAAGUGGAGCAAAUCACCAAAACCGAUCCCAGUUCGGAUUGUAGGCUGCAACUCGCCUACAUGAAGUUGGAGUUGCUAGUAAUCGCAGAUCAGAAUGCUGCGGUGAAUGCGUUCCCGGGUCUUGUACACACCGCCCGUCACACCAUGGAAGUUGGGGGUGCCCAAAGUCGGUUAAUUAAUCUAUCGCCUAAGGCAAAACCAAUGACUGGGGUGAAGUCGUAACAAGGUAGCCGUUCGAGAACGAGCGGCUGGAUCA